rnacentral:rRNA from 1 species
UACGUAGGGGGCAAGCGUUAUCCGGAUUUACUGGGUGUAAAGGGAGCGUAGACGGCUGUGCAAGUCUGAAGUGAAAGCCCAGGGCUCAACCCUGGGACUGCUUUGGAAACUGUGGAGCUAGAGUGCUGGAGAGGUAAGUGGAAUUCCUAGUGUAGCGGUGAAAUGCGUAGAUAUUAGGAGGAACACCAGUGGCGAAGGCGGCCACCUGGACCGGUAUUGACGCUGAGGCGCGAAAGCGUGGGGAGCAAACAGG